rnacentral:rRNA from 1 species
CAGCCGCCGCGGUAAUACGGAGGGAGCUAGCGUUGUUCGGAAUUACUGGGCGUAAAGCGCGCGUAGGCGGUUACUCAAGUCAGAGGUGAAAGCCCGGGGCUCAACCCCGGAACUGCCUUUGAAACUAGGUGACUAGAAUCUUGGAGAGGUCAGUGGAAUUCCGAGUGUAGAGGUGAAAUUCGUAGAUAUUCGGAAGAACACCAGUGGCGAAGGCGACUGACUGGACAAGUAUUGACGCUGAGGUGCGAAAGCGUGGGGAGCAAACAGGAUUAGAUACCCCCGUAGUCCCUGUCUCUUAUAA